CCCUUAGAUGUUCUGGGCCGCACGCGCGCUGCACUGAAGGGAUCAGCGUGUUUUCCCUUCCCGAGAGGGACGGGUAACCCGCUGAACCCCCUUCGUGGUAGGGAUCGGAGCUUGCAAUUGUUCUCCGUGAACCAGGAAUUCCCAGUAAGCGCAAGUCAUAAGCUUGCGUUGAUUACGUCCCUGCCCUUUGUACACACCGCCCGUCGCUACUACCGAUUGAACGUUUUAGUGAGGUAUUUGGACUGGGCCUUGGGAGGUUUCGGCCUCCCUUGUUGCUCGGAAAGACUCCCAAACUUGAGCGUUUAGAGGAAGUAAAAGUCGUAACA
rnacentral:rRNA from 1 species